AGCCUGCCCGCCCGCUCACUGCGCAAGCGCGGGCGGAGUGGGCACUCCGAGGGCUCCGGCCUGCGCGGGGAAGGCAGAGCUCGGUUGCUUGUCCGGGGACGUACAGGGAGUGGAGCCCGGGUGGGGAGGGGGUCUUCGGUGCAUCGCCCUCCUCCUCGUGACCCUCCCUCCCACGCUUGCACACGGGCAUAACCAGAUCCUCAGCAGGCACCGUCGGCCUUAAGCCCAGAUGGGGUGUGGGCGCCUCGUUGGGGUACACCCUUUCCCGGUGUUCAUGCCCCUGCCAGUCAUGGUGAUCAUCAGAGAGGCUUCACCGUUAGCUUCCCUUGGGUUCCUGAAAUAGCCCAAGUUUUUACCUGCUGGUAUUUGGGAUGCUGGCUAACUGGCUGAGUUCACGGACAGGCUGGCUGACCUUUGUGCCAUCUCACCAUAGGUGACAGAUGCAAGGUGCUGUGUUCUCGGAGCUGAGCUCUGUUAGGCCCAGUGUUUCAGGAACAUUUCAGGAGGCUGCUUUCCAGAGGGAAGUAGGGGCUGAAAAUGACCUGAAGCUGACACGGUCCUCAUCAAUUACAAACCUUCUAAGUCCACCAUCAGGAGCAAAAGAGUGAAGGGGGGCUUGUAGCAAGGAUAUGGAUAACUGGCUGUAAGCUGUGUGUGUGUGCGUGUGUGCGUAUGUGCCCUUUCUGUAGUCUCAAAUUAAGUUUACAGGACCAGAGACUACUGGAAUCUAAAGGGAUUGCUAAACUCAUACAGUGUGAUAUGGUCUACAGAUGUAAACUGUGCCACCUACAGACCAUGUCAGGAAUCCAAGGCCCAGGGUACUACUUGCUUCCCAUGCUUCAUCUCCCAAGACUUUUACCCCUCUAUCCACUUGCAGUGCUUUUAACACUAGUGCAUUUGCCCAACAUACAGGGAUGGCUCUGGACCCUUCUCCUUACUGAGAGGCCCAUCCCUGGCAGUGGCAUGAGUAGCUGUGAGCAUCACAGAUGUGAUGAGGUUUUCCUGGCGUUCCUGAGGCUUCAUGAUUCAUCCGUGUGGCCAUGUGAAUCACCACUGUUCAUGCCCCAUCAUUCCCCCAUCUUGGAUCUAGUUUGAAGAAUCUUAUCUGGGUUUUCUGCUAAAGCUUCCUGUGGCUUUGCGUAAUGUAGGCAUGAUUUCUGUGUUCUUGGCCCACCCUGAAAUGUUAACAUAACCUCCAGAGCCAAAAUCAUAAAUAAUACCUGAGAAAUAAAAUGAGAAACAAAUGCAUACAAAGAAGUCCUGU